rnacentral:lncRNA from 1 species
AAGUCAACCUACGAUCUAUGAUGCACUCUGGGAGGCAUUUAGAAGAGCUGGUAUAUGGUGGCCACGGGACUCCUUUUAAGAACUCACUUUCACCAGGAGAGAGGUCAGGAGACAACCCUGGAAAGGAUGCUUGCUAAGUGAGGCGGCAUGGUGGAAUUGAACUUGGAGGAGGACUGUGCUCAGUACUCUCGUCCCCAAGGCAAGAAGGCUGUGAAGCGGGAAGGAGAAUGGGCCUCCCAAGGUCACUCUCGGCCAUCUGUAACUUCCUGCUUCAGUUCUAAACCUGGGGGCUUGUUUCGUGCCUUCGCUCCAAACAGGUUUUCAAUAUGGUCCCCAUUUGAGUUCGUCUUGGUGACUCUGCUCACACUUUAAAGAAGUUCUCAAGAGGCAAAAGCGCAAAACAGCAAAAAAAUGAAACAAACCAGAAAGUUAGCAAUUCCUCAAAAUCAUUAAGGGAAUUCAGCGCUGACUAGGCAACUCCGGUAUAGAGCGUCACGGAUUUUGUGCCAAAUCUUGCUUGGAAAAGGAGGAGAGGUACCAGAUGGAGCUUUGUGUUGGUGAUGGCGGCAGGUGAGAAACAGGUGAUCGCAAACAGAUGGACCCUGUAUUGCAGAGAGACCACCAGCAUCACACUUUGCCAACUUCUGUGCCCCGAGUAGUCAGAAGAUACAAUUCUGUGUGUGGCAACAUUGUGUUGAGCUCAAACUACAUAUACAAUACAGUGCUCCUAAAACACAGUGCUACAUAUCCUAGAAAGUUAGCAAAUGAGGCUGUUUCUAGUGGACGCUCGAGAAACAUUGUAAAUAUCAGACAGUUACAAAACUCAUAGCUUGCAAUGCAAAAGGGCAGAGACCAUAAAAAAUUAUGCACAGUGUAUAGAGAACAACAUGUUUGUGAUGCAGCUUGUGUGAGGGCAAAAGAGGCAGAAAGCAAAAGUAUUUGAUAUACCCAGGAGCUCAGAGGCAUAUCAUAAGUGAUUUCAGUAGGGUUCGUGGCAAAUAUGUGUGUGUCCUGUGUCACACCCACGGAGGCCCUGUAAAGGGAGGUGGCAGAGGGCAUGGGAGACGGCUCAUGGCAUAGAGUAUCUGCUUUGAAAUCAUAAAGACCUGCGUUCACAUGCCCGGAACUCAUAGAGAAAGCUACGAGUGUUGUUACCCGGAACCUCGGCGCUGAGGAGGAAAAGGUGGAGUCACACAGAUCCCUGGAGCUCACUGGCCAGCCUACAUAGUGAAAAGACUCUGCUGCAAAAAAUAGAAGUGGAUAGCAAGCGUGGAAAGAGGCCUAAUGGACCACUGGCCUCCUCAUGCACACACCUGUAUGUGCAUGCAUCACAUUAAAAAUGCAUGUAUCGCAUGCACACAAUACCAUGCAUGCCGGUUAAUUAAAAUUAAAUAAUUGUAGACAGAAAGUGGCAGAGGUCCUUCCACUGCAAUAUAUGACUGGAAACAAGCCAUUUAGCCUUCUAACCUCCCAUUUAUUUCUCUAGUGCACCAAUUUCUACAAAUCUCAUAUUAGGUUUAAUCUAGAUAAAAAUCUUUUUAGACAAAAAAUUUUCCCAAGUAUCCAAUCUGUGCUAGUGGUGGGAUGCAAGUUUAAAGUAGAUUGUAUAUGAUUUGCAUGUCAAUCAUAAUCUAAUUUUGUAAGUUGGGCAUCUACUUAUGGCAAGUAAUACUGAUUUGCAUUUUUUGGGAGGUAUUCACGUUUGUGUGGAUUCUUGCCUGGAUGUAUGUUUAGAGGUCAAAGGUCAAUGUCAGGUGUAUUUUCUCUAUUGCUCUUAACCAUUAUUUUUGACAUAGAGGCUUUCACUGAGUAGAAGGCUUAUCAUCUUUAGAAGGUACCAUCCUUAGAAGGUUAGGAUGGCCAGCCAGUGAGCUUCAGAAGUCUACCUGUCUCCAUCCCCAACCACUACCCUCAUGGGCCCACAUAGCACUGGGGUUAGUGGCACGCUUUUUAACAUGGGUUCCAGGGAUUUGAACUCAGGUCCUCAUUCUUGUAUGACAGUCACCUUACCAGCUGAACCAUGUCCCCCAGCUCCCAAUCUGUAUCUCUGUCAUGCUACAGUUAUUUUUCUUAAACGUUUUAUCUGCAUAAAAUGUAGACCAAUUGUAAGAAAAGAAUUAUUUUUCACUGAUGUGUAACAUGCUCUAUUCGUACAAGUUUUACAGUUCAUAGAUUUCAUUGCUAUAAAAUUCAUUUUAGAUGCAUUUAUUCACUGAGCAAAUAUUUAGAUAAUGCCAGCUGUGCCUUUUGCUCUAGGAAGUAGUGAGAGACUGUUAGCACGGAGGACAAAAAUCUUUGCCCUAUGGAGUUAAAAAUUUUCUGAAAGGAUUAUAAAAAGAUAUGUAAAUACAAUCCAUAGGUUUUUGGUAGGAAGCGAAUAGUCAAGAGAAAGCAAUAAGCCCCAAGUGGGAAGACUGGGAGGGCGAAGGGUGCAAAUUAGAUGAGAUGGUCGGGCUCCCCACUAGGGAGCUGACACUUGACUAAAGUCGUAAGAGGCAAGAGAAUGAAGCAUACAAGCAUCUUAGAAAGGACCAUGUGAUACUUUAUUUACCAUUGAAUGAGCUGGUAUUCCUGUACAUUGGGUUCAUACAUGGCCAGGCCCAGUAGGAGAGAAACACAUAAGGGAAAAAAAAGAGUUUAGAUUUCAUGGUGAUACUAUACUACAAGAGAAUGUAGAAAGACUGUCUUUGGAGGGGGAAGUACUGUGUUCUAUUUGGGUUUAAAUUGCUGGAGAGGCAUUCUUGUAGAAACCCAGCAAGCGAGUGUAGCUUAGGGUUUAGAGAAAUAGAUUUGAGAUUCAUUUUUUAUAACUAUGUUUUAAACAGUCACGUGGCUAAGAGAGAAGAGGUAAUCAGGACUGUAUUAAUCCCUUAGUUCUGUAAGAGACAGGGGACUGACUUUUAUGAAGUUCUCCUGAGGACCUUAUCCAGGCCAGCUGGCCAGCGUGCAUACCCUGGAUACUGACCACAAAGGCAUCCAACAGUUCUGAUGUCAUUAGCAUAAUUAUCUUUCAAGCAUCUUCCAGCAAGAUACUGCUGGUUAAAUGAGACAGAGCUGAGUCUACAUAUCUUGACUUCAGGUGGCUUUGGUCUCUUGAAUUCUGUCUAUGGCAGCACCUGGGCAGUGUCAAAGUCAUAGGACAGAGUGGCUGUGGAGCUUCUGAGCCAAUCAAUAUGGGCAUUCUCAAUAAAUGCUGGCUUUUGUCAUUGAAAGCUAGGUAAAUGAGCAAUGUGGUAGCUUAAAGUAAUAGCAGAUUGUAGUAGAAUGUGGGGCUUUUGCUUAAAAGUAUGAGCAACUCAAAGAUUUCUUUUGAAGCAGCACAGUUAAAUGCCUCCGCUAAGGAGAGCUGCCAGGAGGAAGCAAGUGUGCCUUAUUUUUGCAAACAGAACUGGAAUGGGAUCCAUUGUAUUUAUUCUUUUUGUUUAGAGGUACAACUUGUAUGUGUAUUUUUAUUUCUAAUUUUCAGUGUUUUUCCAUAUAGAAUAUGGUUGUCUUCUCCAGAAAAUGUAUAUAGAUAUGCUAUAUAAAAUUAUAUAAAAAUUUCUUAAGAAAAAAAAAGA